rnacentral:misc_RNA from 1 species
UCUCCGUUGGUGAACCAGCGGAGGGAUCAUUACAGAGUUGCAAAACUCCCAACCCUUUGUGAAUCCUACCUGUUUCGUUGCUUCGGCAGGCGGCCCCAGGGCGUGGUCUUCAGCCUGUUUUUACAGGCGUCUGCCGGAGGAUUUUAAAACUCUUUAAUGCUCUCAGUGGCUCUCUGAGUUAAAAGACAAAAUAAGUCAAAACUUUCAACAACGGAUCUCUUUGUUCUG